AAGAUCAUACUUCACAGAUUCAUUUGUGAAGUAUGCGUCGUCCGCUCCAGGUGCAAAUCUGGGGUUGUCGUCGGCCACGAUGAUGAAUUCGUGUCCUGUCCGUCUGAGCGUGAGACUGCUGGUGAUUUAUCGUUUUACGAUAUACAAUCAUUUCAGCGACGAUGAUCGCACACCGUUCGCCGGUACAGCGGAUCGGGCACACUGAGUGGUU